rfam:Dipodomys ordii contig_14741, whole genome shotgun sequence.
GGGAAGGUAGCUCAGUGGUAGAGUGCUUGCCUUGCAAGCAUGAGACCCUGGGUUCAAUUCCUCAGCACCA